rnacentral:rRNA from 1 species
GACGAACGCUGGCGGCGUGCCUAAUACAUGCAAGUAGAACGCUGAAGGAGGAGCUUGCUUCUCUGGAUGAGUUGCGAACGGGUGAGUAACGCGUAGGUAACCUGCCUGGUAGCGGGGGAUAACUAUUGGAAACGAUAGCUAAUACCGCAUAAGAGUAGAUGUUGCAUGACAUUUGCUUAAAAGGUGCACUUGCAUCACUACCAGAUGGACCUGCGUUGUAUUAGCUAGUUGGUGAGGUAACGGCUCACCAAGGCGACGAUACAUAGCCGACCUGAGAGGGUGAUCGGCCACACUGGGACUGAGACACGGCCCAGACUCCUACGGGAGGCAGCAGUAGGAAAUCUUCGGCAAUGGACGGAAGUCUGACCGAGCAACGCCGCGUGAGUGAAGAAGGUUUUCGGAUCGUAAAGCUCUGUUGUAAGAGAAGAACGAGUGUGAGAGUGGAAAGUUC